rnacentral:rRNA from 1 species
UACGUAGGGUGCAAGCGUUAAUCGGAAUUACUGGGCGUAAAGCGUGCGCAGGCGGUUAUGCAAGACAGAUGUGAAAUCCCCGGGCUCAACCUGGGAACUGCAUUUGUGACUGCAUGGCUAGAGUGCGGCAGAGGGGGAUGGAAUUCCGCGUGUAGCAGUGAAAUGCGUAGAUAUGCGGAGGAACACCGAUGGCGAAGGCAAUCCCCUGGCCCUGCACUGACGCUCAUGCACGAAAGCGUGGGGAGCAAACAGG